AUUUAAAUUAAAUUAAUUAAAGAUCUAAAUUAAACAUAUCAAACAUUAAUAGUAGUUUAUUUUAAAAUAAAAUAUUCUAACUCCAAUAUUCUAUGACAUAAGAACAGUCCCAAAAUAAAUGGUCAAGAGUCUCUGGGUCACAACCACAAAAUGCACAUUUGUAUUUAUUUAUUUAGAAUCUGUAUAAUAAGGUGUUUACAGGGUAGAUUCUAUGAAUGAGUUUGUGUGAUACUUCUUUCACCUUAUUAGAUAUACAAUACCAGUCUGCCAACGCCCAAUAGGUUUCCACGACAGCACAAAGUACAUAUUAACCUGGCUACCAGUCUGUUUGUGCUGUCAUGCCAACGCCAAAUAGGUUUCCACGACAGCACAAAGUACAUAUUAACCUGGCUACCAGUCUGUUUGUGCUGUCAUGCCAACGCCAAAUAGGUUUCCACGACAGCACAAAGUACAUAUUAACCUGGCUACCACUCUGUUUGUGCUGUCAUGCCAACGCCAAAUAGGUUUCCACGACAGCACAAAGUACAUAUUAACCUGGCUACCAGUCUGUUUGUGCCGUCAUGCCAACGCCAAAUAGGUUUCCACGACAGCACAAAGUACAUAUUAACCUGGCUACCAGUCUGUUUGUGCUGUCAUGCCAACGCCAAAUAGGUUUCCACGACAGCACAAAGUACAUAUUAACCUGGCUACCAGUCUGUUUGUGCUGUCAUGCCAACGCCAAAUAGGUUUCCACGACAGCACAAAGUACAUAUUAACCUGGCUACCAGUCUGUUUGUGCUGUCAUGCCAACGCCAAAUAGGUUUCCACGACAGCACAAAGUACAUAUUAACCUGGCUACCAGUCUGUUUGUGCUGUCAUGCCAACGCCAAAUAGGUUUCCACGACAGCACAAAGUACAUAUUAACCUGGCUACCAGUCUGUUUGUGCUGUCAUGCCAACGCCAAAUAGGUUUCCACGACAGCACAAAACAGAUCUGUGACAACGCAAACUACUUGCUUGAGUCAUUUCCAAUAUCACUGUGUGAUCUUGUGAAAGCUAAUAUGCUCCAGAACUGUUUGGGUCCAAGACGAACAUCUGAUUGCUCUUUUACAAAUUCCAUUCUCAAAAAAAUGCUUCCUCUAGUCACGGUAGGAUACAAGAUGAUCAAAAUCCCCUCUGGUUCGACAAGUCAACACCAUUGGAAUCACACUGAGUGA
rnacentral:lncRNA from 1 species